UGUCAACCGGCUGAUGCCCGAAAAUAAAAAAUUGUUUAUAUGUUUUUGCUGCGAUAUAAAUUAUCGAUCGGCCGGGCAGCGGGCGAUGAGUAUUUGUGUAGAUAAGUUAGUUAGUAUGUAUUUGACGUUGUUUGGAAUAUUAUUGUUUGUUAAUAAAUGUAUUGUUAUUGCUUAUUUCGUGAGUGUAUAAUUUAUUAUUGUGAACCUGGACUAGCACAAAUUGGCGACGAGAUAUAAAGAGACCUAAUACUACCAAAUAAGGGAGUGGAUUAAAUUCUACUAAAAUAGGAGUGGAUUAAAUUCUACUAAACAGGAGUGGAUUCAAUUCUACUACAAGAGUGGAUUAAAUUCUACUAAAGGAGUGGAUUAAAUUCUACUAGAGGAGUGGAUUAGAUUCUACUAAAGGAGUGGAUUAAAUUCUACUGAAGGAAAGCUGAUUAUUGAGACUAAUAAGCACUAUAUCCUCGGAAAAAAAAAGUGCAAUGGAUCAGUCGUCUAUUAAACAUUUCGCUUGUGAGUCUAUAGACAAAGCUCUAAUAGCUCUUGAAUGGAGAAAAUGGAUUCGUUCAGUAAAGUUAUAUUUAGAUGCAGAAGAAAUUACAGAUGUUGUAAAAAGGAAAAAUAAAUUAUUACAUCUUGGAGGUCCGCAAUUGCAGGAAAUUGCCUUUGGCUUGCCAGGCGCGGUUACGGAAUAUGACCCCACUAUUAAAAAUGAUGUAUUUAAAGCAUUGGUAGAUAGACUUAAUGACCAUUUUUCGCCUCAACAAAACCCUUGCUUUGAGAGACACGUAUUUCGCAACAUGAAACCCGCGGAUGGAGAAAAUUUAAAUAGAUUCCUUAUAAGAUGUAGAACACAGGCCGAUAAAUGUUAUUUUGGCAACAGUGAACAAGAAGCUCGAGAAAUCAGCAUUAAAGACAAGUUAAUUGAUAUGUGGGCACCGAUAGAUUUAAAACAGAAACUUCUGGAAAAGGAAUCAUCAUUAAAUGAUAUUAUAGAACAAUGUCAAAUAUAUGAACAGACACGAAACCAAAGUGCCAUCAUGCACAAGAAAGACAUUUUGUAACAAACUCCACUAGCGAGGCUCAAGUUAAUCGAAUUGAAGAUUCACGGAAACGCAAACACUGGGAAAUUACAAAAAGUCAUGAGUGCACACGCUGCGGUGGAAUCCACAGCUUAGAUAAGAAAAAUUGCCCUGCCAUUAAUACUACAUGUCAUCAAUGUGGUCGUUUAGGACAUUUUGCUAGAAGAUGUAGGACAGAAAAACUUAAACGUACAUUCGGUCAAAACACUAGCCGCCACCCCAAUCCGCCGAAGACAAGAAGAAUUAAUUGCAUCAACGAAUCCAAUGACGAAAGUCUCCCUUCUACUAGUGGUAUCGGCAACUAUGAAUGUUUCGAAGUUACGAGUUCAAACCCUACUUGGAUUGGACAGCAGCAAUGGAAUAAUCUCGGUGAUAAUUGGAGGUGUCAGCAUUGAUAUCUUAAUUGAUUCCGGAGCCUCGUGCAACAUUAUAAAUGGACGUGAUUGGGAAAAACUACUCGGAAAUGGAGCUGCAAUACUUGACAUCCAAGAAGAUGUAACUAAUUCGAUAAAAGCGUAUGCUGCAAAUACUCCGCUUUUUGUAAAAUGCCAAUUCAAAGCCCCAAUACGCGUGGGCAAUAGUCGUGAGCGUAUUGAAACAUUUGUGGUGGUAGAAUCCGGUACAACCUCACUGCUGGGAAGACGCACAUCGAUAACCUUAGGAGUUUUAAAGUUGGGACUAGACUCCAAUAUUAAUCAUAUUGAAAAAAUUGAGCCUUUUCCGAAAGUUGCUAAUAUUAAAAUAAAACUCACCAUCAAUCCAAAUAUAAAGCCAAUACAACAACCAGUGCGUAGAAUUCCAAUUGCCGUUGAAGAAAAAGUGGAACAGAAGCUGAAUGAAGCACUUGCCAGAGAUAUCAUAGCCCGUACAAGGACCAAGCCCUUGGAUUUCUCCCAUGGUCAUAGUCUUUAAACCAGAUGAUGAUAUUCGUAUUUGCAUCGACAUGAGGAGAGCCAAUGAAGCUAUACUUAGAGAGAAUUUUCCUCUUCCCACUUUUGAGAGCUUCAUGACUAAACUGAGUGGGGCCACUUACUUUUCGCGCUUGGAUCUAGCUAGUGCAUAUCAUCAACUAGAAUUGGAAGAAGACAGUCGAUCAAUUACUACUUUUAUAACACAUAAAGGAUUAUUUAGGUACAAACGGCUAAUGUUUGGCAUAAAUUCCGCUCCAGAAAUAUUUCAGCGUAUAUUUCAAGGUAUUUUGGCUCCUUGUCAGAAUUAUCUCAACUACCUCGAUGACAUAGUUGUUUAUGGAGAAACUGAAGCUGAUCAUGACCGAUAUUUGAAUAACUUACUGACGGUACUACAAAAUUAUAACAUCUUGUUAAACGAAAAAAAGUGCCACUAUAAGGUUAAACAAUUGGAAUUUUUAGGACAUAUUCUAACAUCUUCCGGAAUAUUACCGGACCCAAAGAAGAUUAAAGUUAUUCGUGACUUUCGUGCACCGUUAAAUAAAGGAGAAGUAAGGAGUUUUCUUGGCAUGGUUACAUACUUGGGAAAAUUUAUACCUAAUCUGGGAACCCUGACCGAACCACUAAGACUAUUAAUAAGAAAUGAAACAAAAUUCAAUUGGGGACAAAUAGAACAAGAAAGUUU
rnacentral:lncRNA from 1 species